UACAGAGACUGCAAGCGUUAUUCGGAUUCACUGGGCGUAAAGGGCGCGUAGGCUGUGCUGUAAGUCAGGCGUGAAAGCCCCGGGCUCAACCUGGGAAUUGCGCUUGAUACUGCGGCGCUGGAAGGUGGGAGAGGAUGGCGGAAUUCCCAGUGUAGAGGUGAAAUUCGUAGAUAUUGGGAAGAACACCGGUGGCGAAGGCGGCCAUCUGGCCCACAUUUGACGCUGAGGCGCGAAAGCGUGGGGAGCAAACAGG
rnacentral:rRNA from 1 species